CGACCACAGAGCGGGAACAUUUUCAAUUAGAAUCAAAGAAGUUUUCUCAGAGUAGACCAGAGUAGACCAAAAUAGUAAAUUUUUACGGACAUAAACAACUGGCUGCAGCAUCGCUGAUGUGUGUCAAUGAUUGAAAUUUAAGCACUAAAAAGAAAUAGUCGUGAAAAUGACAUAGAGUCGAAGUUGAUUUAAUUGAGAUAAUCAUUUACGAUGAACGAAUUAAAAGUUGUUCCUCCGAUAAUCCAAGUAUCUGUACGUAGUACGUACGAUUAGUGCGAAAGCCACAGAGCUUUGAUUUUGACAUGACAAGCACUACAGGUUACUAGUGUGCUGAUGUUAUACUCAUAAACAUAUGUUUCAAAAAGAUUCAUCGAUUCACUCGAGCAAAUUGAAAGAGCGAACUUUGGUUCACAAGAGAAUAACGGACCUCGCAGAGCUGCAGAGGAUUUACGAUAUAGGGGAGGUCUUAGGAAAAGGUAGUUUCGGUACGGUCGUCAAAGCGAAUUACAAAGGAUCUACUGUGAAUUGGGCGAUUAAGAUCAUCAAUAAGUCUCAAGCCGGAGCGUCGAGAAUACUGCUUGUCGAACGAGAGAUCCACAUUCUUAAGUUAGUCAAUCAUCCGAAUAUAAUUCUUCUGGACCGUGUCUUCGAAUCACCAAAGGUGAAAACUAUUCAGCACAACACUGAUUGAAUACGAAUGGAUGCAACGAAUAAUUGUUUUCGGAAUUCCCAGACUAUUUAUUUGGUGUUCGAGUUUUGCACGGGAUCAUUGGCAAGAACUUUCAAAGUGAAGAAGCGUUUUGAAGAGAAAGACACGCUGACGGUUAUUCGUAGCUUGGCCGGUGCUCUAUCGUACCUCCACAAAAAUGGUCAGUUAUUGAUUCGAGCGAUAGAUUUAUGAAUCCAGCACAUUCCAUACAUGAAAUGACGAAACAGAUAUCGUGCAUCGUGACCUCAAGUUGGAAAAUAUUUUGAUCGCCGCGCACCCGGAAAAUCCUGCCGACAAUUUGUUUAUCAAGAUUACGGAUUUCGGACUCAGUGCGGUACGAGGAGGAACGGGAUAUGACAGUAUGCUACAUGACUGCUGCGGCACUCCAACAUAUAUGGGUGAAUUGUCGUAAUUUAAAAUCUUCUUCGCAAAUGACAGUUAACAAUGAUGCUAUGUCUACGUAUCUACACAGCGCCGGAAAUGAUCGCUACGAAGUCCUACAGCCAGCAGUGUGACGUGUGGUCAAUGGGGAUUAUAAUGUAUCUUUUACUUGUUGGAAAGUUUCCAUUUUAUUCCACCAAUGAUCAACAGCUUCAUUUGCUCGUUCAGACGCAUGAGCUCGAUUUUUCGGGUUUACCUUGCUCGCUAGAAGCAAAGCAUCUUUUGAGCAAGAUGCUUCAAAAAAAUCCAGCCUUCCGCAUGACUGCAGCAGAGGUUGGGAAUCAUCCCUGGAUAUCAGGUACCCAGGCAAGGGUUCGUGCUUAUCCUUCAAACGUCUUAGAUAUGAUGAGAAUGUGGCGACAAGAAAUUAUGGAACAGUCGGAGGAGAGUUCCGUUGCAACCGUUGAGAGUUACGACACAGUUUCUCGAACAGUUAUCCCUACGUCGCCUGCUACGGUUACCACAGAACACAGAGCUCAGAUUUUCACUACCCCAGCUUCCGAUAUCCAUAGUAAUAACGUCAACGAUCGGACUCUAAUGAGCGGUAUAGCGAGACCAUCAGCUGCGGAGUCGUCAGUGGAAAGAAGACGCACAACAGGCUCCGAACGUCGCCGGUUGAGUUCUCGAUUACCAGAUUUUAGUCAUAUUCCAGCAAAAGUCGAUUCAAAUUUAGCUAAUUUACGGAGGGAGACUCAAGCCCAGAGAAAACGAAGUUAUUCUCGGAACAAUCAUCCUGCGCCAGCGAAAUAAUUAACAUUAAAUAAGGCGCGUCACGAGUGUAAAUAUUAUAUUAAUUGGUGUACGAACUAUAAAUAUGCGUAUUUAUGUGGAUAAAAAAUGUGCCCUCAAUUGGAAAAUAGAUACCUGAUCUGUAUGACGAAUCACAAUUAAAUUUCUUUACGAUAAGAGUAACAUAGCCAGUAAUAAAAAUGGCAUGAAGAUGCGUACAUGCACGUAGUAUGCAUACAUGACUCGUUCGAAUUCGAUGGGUUCGCGCCCCACAUUACCUCUGGGGCGCUGCUUUCGCGUGCGCCACAAACACAUAUUCACAAAUUUAUAUACUGUAUCAUACAUAUGUGUAUCGUUCAACUCCCCCCGCUCACAAGUGCCAAAUCUCCAUCCGUCAACGCAAGCUGUCAGUUUUAGGUGUAGGUUACGAGCAGGUGAUUAAUUGUAAAAUUUUCGUCAAAGAUUGUGAAUAUGAACGAUUACGGAAUGCCAAUUAUUGAACCUACCAUUGAUUUCACUAAGGAAGAUGAAUUUUGUCUUGCUCACUCACCGAAGAAUUACACCUACUUCUUUCGUAGACCAAAUUCAAGGAAUAAUAGUAGCGACUUUAAAACAUAUCUCAAAAUAUCUUAACUACCAAAGUAUGCGAUGGCUAUUGUCCCAAUUAUCCAAACUGAAGUUAAGACCGAUCUUGGGUUUUAGGUACCACCGAUUCAC